UGGGCAAGGAGAACUCACACCCAGUGGGCAAGGAGAACUCACACCCAGUGGGCAAGGAGAACUCACACCCAGUGGGCAAGGAGAUCUCACACCCAGUGGGCAAGGAGAACUCACACCCAGUGGGCAAGGAGAACUCACAACCAGUGAGCAAGGAGAAUUCACACCCAGUGGGCAAGGAGAACUCACACCCAGUGGGCAAGGAGAAAUCACACCCAGUGGGCAAGGAGAACUCACAACCAGUGAGCAAGGAGAACUCACACCCAGUGGGCAAGGAGAACUCACACCCAGUGGGCAAGGAGAACUCACACCCAGUGGGCAAGGAGAACUCACAACCAGGGAGCAAGGAGAACUCACACCCAGUGGGCAAGGAGAACUCACAACCAGGGAGCAAGGAGAACUCACACCCAGUGGGCAAGGAGAACUCACACCCAGUGGGCAAGGAGAACUCACACCCAGUGGGCAAUGAUGACUAUGAGAUUCUUGGAGAGGAGCUCAAAUGUGGGCAACGCUCCCCACUCUAGGGGACCGAAAGCCACGGAUGUGAACCUAUUAUAAAACUGCAAAACAGGUUUAAUUAAUUGACCCAGGCAAACCGGUUCUGCUCAAACCACUUGAUGAAGGAGGCAGAUCAAGAUGCCCGGCUGUAUAUAUAAAGGCAGGGAAGGAGCUCCAGUCCAAACCCUACCAGCAGACCUUCUUCAGUGCGGACGUACUUCUUCUCGGUCAUCGCAGGACACACAAAAACAACCAUGAUCAAGAUUUUCCUCCUUCUGCUUCUGCUUGUCGG